UACGUAGGGGGCAAGCGUUGUCCGGAAUCAUUGGGCGUAAAGAGCGUGUAGGCGGCUCGAUAAGUCUGCUGUGAAAGUCCAGGGCUCAACCCUGGAAGGCCGGUGGAAACUGUCGGGCUAGAGUCCGGAAGAGGAGUGUGGAAUUCCUGGUGUAGCGGUGAAAUGCGCAGAUAUCAGGAGGAACACCAAUGGCGAAGGCAGCACUCUGGGACGUGACUGACGCUGAGACGCGAAAGCGUGGGGAGCAAACAGG
rnacentral:rRNA from 1 species